rnacentral:rRNA from 2 species
GAGUUUGAUCGUGGCUCAGAUUGAACGCUGGCGGCAGGCCUAACACAUGCAAGUCGAGCGGAUGAGAGGAGCUUGCUCCUUGAUUCAGCGGCGGACGGGUGAGUAAUGCCUAGGAAUCUGCCUGAUAGUGGGGGACAACGUUUCGAAAGGAACGCUAAUACCGCAUACGUCCUACGGGAGAAAGCAGGGGACCUUCGGGCCUUGCGCUAUCAGAUGAGCCUAGGUCGGAUUAGCUAGUAGGUGGGGUAAUGGCUCACCUAGGCGACGAUCCGUAACUGGUCUGAGAGGAUGAUCAGUCACACUGGAACUGAGACACGGUCCAGACUCCUACGGGAGGCAGCAGUGGGGAAUAUUGGACAAUGGGACGAAAGCCUGAUCCAGCCAUGCCGCGUGUGUGAAGAAGGUCUUCGGAUUGUAAAGCACUUUAAGUUGGGAGGAAGGGCUGCAAGUUAAUACCUUGUAGUUUUGACGUUACCAACAGAAUAAGCACCGGCUAACUUCGUGCCAGCC